rfam:Myotis lucifugus cont2.16411, whole genome shotgun sequence.
GCCAUUUUGGCUCAGUGGAUAGAGCGUCAGCCUGCGGACUGAAGGGCCCCGGGUUUGAUUCCGGUCAAGGGCA